AUACGUAGGGUGCGAGCGUUGUCCGGAAUUAUUGGGCGUAAAGGGCUCGUAGGCGGUUUGUCGCGUCGGGAGUGAAAACACCGGGCUUAACUCGGUGCUUGCUUUCGAUACGGGCAGACUAGAGGUAUUCAGGGGAGAACGGAAUUCCUGGUGUAGCGGUGAAAUGCGCAGAUAUCAGGAGGAACACCGGUGGCGAAGGCGGUUCUCUGGGAAUAUCCUGACGCUGAGGAGCGAAAGUGAGGGGAGCGAACA
rnacentral:rRNA from 1 species